rnacentral:rRNA from 1 species
UACAGAGGUCUCAACCGUUGUUCGGAUUCAUUGGGCGUAAAGGGUGCGUAGGCGGUCGCGCAAGUCGGAUGUGAAAGCUCGGAGCUCAACUCCGAAAUGGCAUUGGAAACUACCCUGCUAGAGGAUUGGAGGGGGGACUGGAAUACUUGGUGUAGCAGUGAAAUGCGUAGAUAUCAAGUGGAACACCAGUGGCGAAGGCGAGUCCCUGGACAAUACCUGACACUGAGGCACGAAAGCUAGGGGAGCAAACAGG